rnacentral:rRNA from 1 species
GUGCACGCUGGCGGUAGGCCUAACCCAUGCAAGUCGCACGGCAGCACAGUAAGAGCUUGCUCUUACGGGUGGCGAGUGGCGGACGGGUGAGGAAUACAUCGGAAUCUACUUUUUCGUGGGGGAUAACGUAGGGAAACUUACGCUAAUACCGCAUACGACCUACGGGUGAAAGCAGGGGAUCUUCGGACCUUGCGCGAUUGAAUGAGCCGAUGUCGGAUUAGCUAGUUGGCGGGGUAAAGGCCCACCAAGGCGACGAUCCGUAGCUGGUCUGAGAGGAUGAUCAGCCACACUGGAACUGAGACACGGUCCAGACUCCUACGGGAGGCAGCAGUGGGGAAUAUUGGACAAUGGGCGCAAGCCUGAUCCAGCCAUACCGCGUGGGUGAAGAAGGCCUUCGGGUUGUAAAGCCCUUUUGUUGGGGAAGAAAAGCAGCAGGUUAAUACCCCGCUGUUCUGACGGUACCCAAAGAAUAAGCACCGGCUAACUUCGUG